CGUGCCUAACACAUGCAAGUCGAACGAGAAAUCUCCCGCUUGCGGGAGAGAGUAAAGUGGCGCACGGGUGAGUAACGCGUGGGUAACCUGCCCUUGAAUCUGGGAUAACUUCGCGAAAGCGUAGCUAAUACCGGAUAUCGUCUUGAGAACUGUGGUUCUCUAGAUGAAAGGUGACCUCUUCAUGAAAGUUGCCGUUCAGGGAGGGGCCCGCGUGCCAUUAGCUUGUUGGUGGGGUAAUGGCCUACCAAGGCUACGAUGGUUAGCUGGUCUGAGAGGAUGAUCAGCCACACUGGAACUGAAACACGGUCCAGACUCCUACGGGAGGCAGCAGUGAGGAAUUUUGCGCAAUGGGGGAAACCCUGACGCAGCAACGCCGCGUGAGUGAAGAAGGCCUUCGGGUCGUAAAGCUCUGUCAAGGGGGAAAAACCCCUCUCGAUUAAUAGUCGAAAGGACUGAUGGUACCCCUAGAGGAAGCACCGGCUAACUCCGUG
rnacentral:rRNA from 1 species